rnacentral:rRNA from 1 species
AUUGAACGCUGGCGGCAGGCUUAACACAUGCAAGUCGAGCGGGGUGAUGGUGCUUGCACUAUCACUUAGCGGCGGACGGGUGAGUAAUGCUUAGGAAUCUGCCUAUUAGUGGGGGACAACAUCUCGAAAGGGAUGCUAAUACCGCAUACGUCCUACGGGAGAAAGCAGGGGAUCACUUGUGACCUUGCGCUAAUAGAUGAGCCUAGGUAGGAUUAGCUAGUUGGUGGGGUAAAGGCCUAGCAAGGCGACGAUUGGUAGCGGGUGUGAGAGGAUGAUCCGCAACACUGGGACGGAGACACGGCCCAGACUCCUACGGGAGGCAGCAGUGGGGAAUAUUGGACAAUGGGGGGAACCCUGAUCCAGCCAUGCCGCGUGUGUGAAGAAGGCCUUAUGGUUGUAAAGCACUUUAAGCGAGGAGGAGGCUCUUUUGGUUAAUACCCAAGAUGAGUGGACGUUACUCGCAGAAUAAGCACCGGCUAACUCUGUGCCAGCCGCCGCCGUAA